rnacentral:rRNA from 1 species
GACGAACGCUGGCGGCGUGCUUAACACAUGCAAGUCGAACGGUGAAAGCGGAGCUUGCUCCGCUGGAUCAGUGGCGAACGGGUGAGUAACACGUGGGCAACCUGCCCCUCACUUCGGGAUAACUCCGGGAAACCGGGGCUAAUACCGGAUAUGACCUCCUUGGGCAUCCUUGGAGGUGGAAAGUUUUUCGGUGGGGGAUGGGCCCGCGGCCUAUCAGCUUGUUGGUGAGGUAGUGGCUCACCAAGGCGACGACGGGUAGCCGGCCUGAGAGGGCGACCGGCCACACUGGGACUGAGACACGGCCCAGACUCCUACGGGAGGCAGCAGGGGGGAAUAUUGCGCAAGGGGCGAAAGCCUGACGCAGCAACGCCGCGUGCGGGAUGACGGCCUUCGGGUUGUAAACCGCCUUCCGCAGGGAAGAAGCCGCAAGGUGACGGUACCUGCAGCAGAAGCACCGGCUAACUACGUGCCAGCCGCCGCAGUAA